rnacentral:rRNA from 1 species
GCUCAGGAUGAACGCUGGCGGCGUGCUUAACACAUGCAAGUCGAACGGGAAUUACUUUAUUGAAACUUCGGUCGAUAUGAUUUAAUUCUAGUGGCGGACGGGUGAGUAACGCGUGGGUAACCUGCCUUGUACAGGGGGAUAACAGUCAGAAAUGACUGCUAAUACCGCAUAAGCGCACAGAGCUGCAUGGCUCGGUGUGAAAAACUCCGGUGGUAUAAGAUGGACCCGCGUUGGAUUAGCUAGUUGGUGAGGUAACGGCCCACCAAGGCGACGAUCCAUAGCCGGCCUGAGAGGGUGAACGGCCACAUUGGGACUGAGACACGGCCCAGACUCCUACGGGAGGCAGCAGUA